rnacentral:rRNA from 1 species
UGGGGAAUAUUGCACAAUGGGCGAAAGCCUGAUGCAGCGACGCCGCGUGAGGGAUGACGGCCUUCGGGUUGUAAACCUCUUUCAGUAGGGAAGAAGCGAAAGUGACGGUACCUGCAGAAGAAGCGCCGGCUAACUACGUGCCAGCAGCCGCGGUAAUACGUAGGGCGCAAGCGUUAUCCGGAAUUAUUGGGCGUAAAGAGCUCGUAGGCGGUUUGUCGCGUCUGCCGUGAAAGUCCGGGGCUCAACUCCGGAUCUGCGGUGGGUACGGGCAGACUAGAGUGAUGUAGGGGAGACUGGAAUUCCUGGUGUAGCGGUGAAAUGCGCAGAUAUCAGGAGGAACACCGAUGGCGAAGGGCAGGUCUCUGGGCAUUAACUGACGCUGAGGAGCGAAAGCAUGGGGAGCGAACAGGAUUAGAUACCCUGGUAGUCCAUGCCGUAAACGUUGGGCACUAGGUGUGGGGGACAUUCCACGUUUUCCGCGCCGUA